CGAAGAUGAACUAAAUCCAUUCGACCACUAGUAUCCACAUCUACCAGAUAAAGAUUCGACACACCUAUUCCCAGAAGAAAACAAGCUUUCUUGAUCGAAUAAUGAGCAUCUUUGGAGGUCAGCACUACGAGACGAGGCUAGGCAUAGCGCGAUGGCGGGCACAUUGAAUGCCGUAUAUAUUAGCCAUUGAACCGCCCGGGCAAAACACUCCGUCUCCACUACCGUCUGGGAAUCCUACCCAUCGUCGCAUUUCACGAAGAAUCUGGUGCUCGAGCAAUGUGAAAACUGGAGCAACUUCGAUUAGGAGCCAUCCAAUUCUGAUCGCAACGAUGCGUUUGUGAACUGGGCAAGAGGAAAAACCAAAGAUAAUUAACCUUGUCCAAAGACAGGACACGCUCCAAACGAAGGAUUUCCUUCGGAACCAAUAAUUUACAAAGGAAGACAUCAAUUGAAGAUUUUGUCUUUAUUUCACGGCGGUAAAUCUGAUAUGAUUGAUUGUCAAUUACUUCCGAUCAAUUAAGCCUUUUUAUGGUCGGCUUUUUUUACGCAACAUAAAAAUUGCACUGUGGGGCGCACGCCGCUAGAACAGUGAGACUGAUUCAUUUUCCAAGGUAAUUUCUUUCUUUUAAUCUUAUUCGACGAUAAAGAAAGUCUAAAACCCAAAUCCCAAACAACUUAUCUGUUAUCCUGUCUCUUGGUUUGUGAUUCUUCUUUCUGCAUAAAAAAUUGACAUAAAAAGAUAGUCAAUUGGAGCAUCAAUAAAGGUAAAAGGUGUGCUGAAGUGGCGUGAUUUGCUAAUUAUAGACAUUCUAUAGACUUGUCCUGAUUUUUCUCUUUAUUCAACAUUCUAACAAAUUUUUAUUUAUCACUUUAAAAAUUAGUCGUUAAGCUGAACAUUGCAGUCGGACCUCGGACUUUUACCGCUUUAGCUGAUUGCCUGAUUGGCUGAUUUGGCUCUUUGCUAACUCUUUGCUAACAAAUAACCGCUGCUGCUGCUGCCUUACAGCCACAGGCAGGAAAAUUAUUCUUUUCUUCAGAUGAAAAGCUGCUGGAGUAAUCUGGUGUUGAUGCUCAUUACAUUCAUUUCGUGCCAGAUUGCCAGCUAUUGAAAGCCGAAAGGCAUGUCGAAUUCAAGUUGAGCUGCUGCGUGCUGUCUGGACUCUGGAAGCAAGCAAUCCAGCCGUUGCGUUCAGUCAUUUGAACAGGAAUCUAAUGGCUGUCAAUAGGUGGCUGUCAAUAGUUGGCUGAAAUGUCCACCAGGUAGCGCUAGUGUCUCCAGGGACGCAUUUCGGCCAUUUUGUUCCAAGACGUAGCAGAAAUGGGUUGCUGGUCGUGACAUUUCUCACGAUGAAAAUUGAAAGGGUGAUUUAGCAUGUGGAAACCACUUUGCCAAGUCAUUCAACUCAGACUUGGAAGUGCCUGUACAUUGCCGAAAUGGCGUGCCUCGUGUGUCUCGCUGUCUGUUCUUAGGCGUAUGUCUCAUCCCAUACAACAGCAAAAAGUAUAACAAACACUUCUUUAAUGCUGGUGGUUACCUUGUUGCAGCCAAAUGGUGAAAGGUGU
rnacentral:lncRNA from 1 species